GGGCGCGUGAGUGUGCGCCUACUCUCGGAGGUGGCACGCGCAGCGGACUGUAAAUCCGUCGGCUGAUGCCUUCCAAGGAUCGAAUCCUUGACCCGCCA
rnacentral:tRNA from 1 species